rnacentral:misc_RNA from 1 species
AAAGUCGUAACAAGGUCUCCGUUGGUGAACCAGCGGAGGGAUCAUUACAGAAGCAGACUGCCUAGUUGUAGCUCUUCAACCCCUGUGAACCUUAUAUUCUUUUUAGAAGACGUUGCCUCGGCGUUUAGUGCUAGUUAGCGUAAAGCUAGCCAGUUGCAGCGCCAGAGGUAGCUGAUUCCAACUACAACGCUCCAAACAAGCUCAGCCUUUUCUUCUGAACUAUUCAAUAUAAAAAAACGAGUAAAAACUUUUGGCAACGGAUCUCUUGGCUCUG